UGGGGAUAUUGGCACAAUGGAGGAAACUCUGAUGCAGCAACGCCGCGUGAGGGAAGAAGGUCUUCGGAUUGUAAACCUUAGUAGUCAGGGACGAAAGAAAUGACGGUACCUGAAGAGUAAGCUCCGGCUAACUACGUGCCAGCAGCCGCGGUAAUACGUAGGGAGCGAGCGUUGUCCGGAUUUACUGGGUGUAAAGGGUGCGUAGGCGGGACUGCAAGUCAGACGUGAAAUACCGAGGCUUAACUUCGGGGCUGCGUUUGAAACUGUGGUUCUUGAGUGAAGUAGAGGCAGGCGGAACUCCUAGUGUAGCGGUGAAAUGCGUAGAUAUUAGGAGGAACACCAGUGGCGAAGGCGGCCUGCUGGGCUUUAACUGACGCUGAAGCACGAAAGCAUGGGGAGCAAACAGGAUUAGAUACCCUGGUAGUCCAUGCCGUAAACGAUGAUAGCUAGGUGUGGGGGACUGACCCCUUCCGUGCCGCAGCAAACGCAAUAAGCUAUCCACCUGGGGAGUACGACCGCAAGGUUGAAACUCAAAGGAAUUGACGGGGUCAUAGCUGUUUCCUG
rnacentral:rRNA from 1 species